rnacentral:rRNA from 1 species
GACGAACGCUGGCGGCGUGCUUAACACAUGCAAGUCGAACGGUAAGGCCCUGCUUUUGUUGGGUGCUCGAGUGGCGAACCGGUGAGUAACACGUGACUAGCCUACCCUUGCCUUUUGGAUAACUUAAGGGAACUGGGGCUAAUGCCGGAUAGGAGCUCCUGCCGCAUGGUGGGGGUUGGAAAGUUUCGGCGGUUGGGGAUGGACUCGCGGCUUAUCAGCUUGUUGGUGGGGUAGUGGCUUACCAAGGCUUUGACGGGUAGCCGGCGUGAGAGGGGGACUGGGCAAAUUGGGAGUGAGAUACGGCCCAGAGUCGUACGGGAGGCAGCAGAGGGGAAGAUUGCAUGAUGGGGGGAAGCCGGAUGCAGCAACGACGCGUGCGGGAUGACGGCCUUCGGGUUGUAUACCGCUGGCGCCUGUGAUGAAGGGGGAGUGACGGUAAUGGGUAAAGAAGCACCGGCUAACUACGUG